AGCAGCCGCGGUAAUUCCAGCUCCAAUAGCGUAUAUUAAAGUUGUUGCAGUUAAAAAGCUCGUAGCUGAAUUUCGGGGUCAGUAGGUCGGUCGUGCCACUGGUAUGAACUGGUUUUACUGAUUCCUCCCUCUUGAAGAACUGUAAUGCCAUUAAUUUGGUGUUGCAGGGAAUCAGGACUGUUACUUUGAAAAAAUUAGAGUGUUUAAAGCAGGCUUUAGCUUGAAUACAUUAGCAUGGAAUAAUGAAAUAGGACGUUUGAUCCUAUUUUGUUGGUUUCUAGGAUUGACGUAAUGAUUAAUAGGGAUAGUUGGGGGCAUUAGUAUUCAAUUGUCAGAGGUGAAAUUCUUGGAUUUAUUGAAGACUAACUACUGCGAAAGCAUUUGCCAAGGAUGUUUUCAUUAAUCAAGAACGAAUGUUAGGGGAUCGAAGACGAUCAGAUACCGUCGUAGUCUUAACCAUAAACUAUGCCGACUAGGGAUCAAAAGGGAUGUUAAUUUUUUAAUGACUCA
rnacentral:rRNA from 1 species